rnacentral:pre_miRNA from 1 species
GAGAUACUCCCUCCGUUCCGAAUUACUUGUCGCGGGUAUGAAUGUAUCUAGAUGUAUUUUAGUUCUAGAUACAUCCAUUUCUACGACGAGUAAUUUGAAACGGAGGGAGUAUAUG